CUUCUCCCGGCAGCGGCCCAGCUCCAGCUCCAGCCUCUCCACACGGUUGGCCUUCUCCCUCAGCGAGUCCAGCUCAUCGCGCUCCAGCACCAGCUGGUCCACCUCAUGCCUGGUGUCCACAAGCUGCUCCGUCUUCUCCUCCCUGGGGCCAUUCAGAGGGUGCGUGGUGAGGGUCCCCCCAGAAGCACCUGGACAGCCACCACCUGGGAGACCGCGGCGGGGAACGGAGAGGGGACCUGGCUUCUAGGGGUGCCCGUGUCCCCCCACCCCCGAAGCUGGACCAGGACAACUGGGGGUGUGCAGGCUUCAGAGGAACGGUCAGGAGAGGAGAGGAGGGCAGAGGAGGGCGGCCUGUGACCGGCCCCGGCCCGAGUGCCCCGCCCUGCCCCCAGGCGCAGGGCCGCCCCAGACACACCUCC